UACGUAGGUGGCAAGCGUUGUCCGGAUUUAUUGGGUUUAAAGGGUGCGUAGGCGGUCCUAUAAGUCAGUGCUGAAAUAUCCCGGCUUAACCGGGAGGGUGGCAUUGAUACUGCAGGACUUGAGUAGAGUUGAGGUUGGCGGAAUUGACGGUGUAGCGGUGAAAUGCUUAGAUAUCGUCAAGAACACCGAUAGUGUAGACAGCUAACUAAGCUCAAACUGACGCUGAGGCACGAAAGUGUGGGGAUCAAACAGG
rnacentral:rRNA from 1 species